UAAGGAAUAUUGGGCAAUGGAGGCAACUCUGACCCAGCCAUGCCGCGUGAAGGAUGACAGCCCUAUGGGUUGUAAACUUCUUUUGUACGGGAAUAAACCCGGGUACGUGUACCCGGCUGAAUGUACCGUAAGAAUAAGGAUCGGCUAACUCCGUGCCAGCAGCCGCGGUAAUACGGAGGAUCCAAGCGUUAUCCGGAUUCAUUGGGUUUAAAGGGUGCGUAGGCGGAUUUGUAAGUCAGUGGUGAAAUCCUGCAGCUUAACUGCAGAACUGCCAUUGAUACUGCAAGUCUUGAGUACAUCUGAUGUGGGCGGAAUGUGUCAUGUAGCGGUGAAAUGCUUAGAUAUGACACAGAACACCGAUUGCGAAGGCAGCUCACAAAACUGUAACUGACGCUGAGGCACGACAGCGUGGGGAUCAAACAG
rnacentral:rRNA from 1 species